UCAAACACAAGCUCAUCGGUAUGUGUUAUUUAACUACGACGGAGCUACACAAUUCAUUGAAAAGCAUAAGAAAUUUCUUAAAAGAAGGCAACGGAAUUUAAAGCCACGACAAAUACAAUCAAUGUCUCAUCUAUCAUUUCAUAAGUGGUUUAAUGAAUGUCUGCGGAAUACGGAGGAUCCUAUCCCUAAUG